AUUUAAAUAGUUUAUGAUAAAAUAUUAACUUGUGGUGUUAAAGAUAUAAUUAUAUUUGUUUUAAAUU
rnacentral:tRNA from 1 species